GUCUCCUUGUAAUAGUAGAAUAAGGAGUCGGGCCUGCCCAGUGAAAAUAUUCAACGGCCGCGGUACUCUGACCGUGCAAAGGUAGCAUAAUCAUUUGCCUUAUAAUUGAAGGCUUGUAUGAAUGGUUUGACGAGAGUAAAGCUGUCUCUUUAUAAUUAUACAGAAUUUUAUUUACAGGUGAAGAAGCCUAUAUUUUAUUGAAAGACAAGAAGACCCUAUCGAGCUUGAAAUAAGUUAGUAAAUCUUAUAUUAUAUACUUUGUAAAUAAUAAAUUACUAAAUACUUUAGUUGGGGCGACUGAGGAACAGAAAAAGCUUCCUUUAUUUCCUUAAAACCAUCAAGUGUUUGAUCCAAAAUUUUUGAUUAAAGAAAUUAGUUACCGUAGGGAUAACAGCAUUAUCUUUUUUGAGAGCUCUAAUCGAAAAAAAGGUUUGUGACCUCGAUGUUGGACCAGAAUAUCCUAAAGAUGCAGACGUCUUUAAAGGUUGGUCUGUUCGACCAUUAAAAUUCUACGUGAUCUGAGUUCAGACCGGCGUGAGCCAGGUCAGUUUCUAUCUUCAAUUAUAAGAGUAACCUUAGUACGAAAGGACCAGCUUACUGUAACACUUUAUUUAAUUUAGAUAUUGUAUAAAGAAAACAUCAAUAUAAUAAUGAAAGAUCAAAUUAGCAAAGAUAAUGCAAUUGAUUUAGGAUCAAUAGACAUAGGUGAAAUCCCUUUAUUUGAUAAUGAUAUAAUAAAGGUGGCAGAAUGAA
rnacentral:rRNA from 1 species